UUGAAAUGGGGUAUGUCAGCAGUGCUAUUGGUAUUUUGUAAACUUCAUCCUUUGUGUGUCAGUAAAGUUAAUUUUUAUCAAAUCAUUUAUCUAGAACUAAUGGGAGACUGCAAGAGCCCUCCAGUGGCCAAGCUAAUUUCUGCAAAAAUACCGCCAUCGGAAUGAAAAAGGAAUUGUACGAGUUGUUAAAUCUUAACAGCAAAGAGAAGGGAUGGCUAGAAUUAUUUUAGCUGUUUAAAGGGACAUAUGCUGUACUUGUAGGAACAAUGAUCUCAUAGGUUGAAUUAGACAGGAUAUCAUUUAAUGCAGUCUGAGACUCUUGGCAGAGAAGUGGAUGAAUAGAAUUGCCUGCUUGAAGAGAGAAAACACUCUGAGAGGAUUCAAGCCUAAAACUCCAGCUGAAUUUGAAUUUCCAGGUGGAAGUGAAUUGUGAAGGUGCCACUCUUCUCUGCUGGAAGUAUAUGCAUUGAGGCCAGCGUGUCUAGUCUGUCACAAUCCUGGGUCUUCGGGGGACUGUACCGGUCGCCCUUGGAGUGCUCGCAGCAGGGAAGAAGGAGCGAGCAGGGAGGAGCUGAGGAGGGUCGGAGCGGAAGGGACACCCAGAGACUGAGAUGAGAGAGGGGCUAUAAGAAGAGAAACCAGUCGCAGCAAAACAGAACUCUCG
rnacentral:lncRNA from 1 species